AUACGGAGGGUGCAAGCGUUGUUCGGAAUCACUGGGCGUAAAGGGCGCGCAGGCGGUUUGGUAAGUCAGAUGUGGAAGCCCACGGCUCAACCGUGGAAGUGCAUUUGAAACUGCCAGACUUGAGUACCAGAGGGGAAAGUGGAAUUCCCGGUGUAGAGGUGAAAUUCGUAGAUAUCGGGAGGAAUACCGGUGGCGAAGGCGACUUUCUGGCUGGAUACUGGCGCUGAGGCGCGAAAGCGUGGGGAGCAAACAGAAUUAGAAACCCCAGUAGUCC
rnacentral:rRNA from 1 species